GGUGGCUCAGUGGUUAAGAGUUCGGCUGCUAACCAAAAGGUUGGCAGUUCAAAUCUGCCAGCCACUC
rnacentral:tRNA from 1 species